AGCAAGCCUGACGGAGCAACGCCGCGUGAGGGANGAAGGCCUCUGGGCUGUAAACCUCUUUUCUCAAGGAAGAAGAUAUGACAGUACUUGAUGAAUAAGCCACGGCUAAUUCCGUGCCAGCAGCCGCGGUAAUACGGGAGUGGCAAGCGUUAUCCGGAAUUAUUGGGCGUAAAGCGUCCGCAGGCGGCUUUUCAAGUCUGCUGUUAAAACGUGGAGCUUAACUCCAUCAUGGCAGUGGAAACUGAAACGCUUGAGUAUGGUAGGGGCAGAGGGAAUUCCCGGUGUAGCGGUGAAAUGCGUAGAUAUCGGGAAGAACACCAGUGGCGAAGGCGCUUUGCUGGGCCAUUACUGACGCUCAUGGACGAAAGCCAGGGGAGC
rnacentral:rRNA from 1 species